AGUGAACGCUGGCGGUAGGCCUAACACAUGUAAGUCGAACGGCAGCACAGUAAGAGCUUGCUCUUACGGGUGGCGAGUGGCGGACGGGUGAGGAAUACAUCGGAAUCUACUUUUUCGUGGGGGAUAACGUAGGGAAACUUACGCUAAUACCGCAUACGACCUACGGGUGAAAGCAGGGGAUCUUCGGACCUUGCGCGAUUGAAUGAGCCGAUGUCGGAUUAGCUAGUUGGCGGGGUAAGGGCCCACCAAGGCGACGAUCCGUAGCUGGUCUGAGAGGAUGAUCAGCCACACUGGAACUGAGACACGGUCCAGACUCCUACGGGAGGCAGCAGUGGGGAAUAUUGGACAAUGGGCGCAAGCCUGAUCCAGCCAUACCGCGUGGGUGAAGAAGGCCUUCGGGUUGUAAAGCCCUUUUGUUGGGAAAGAAAAGCAGCAGGUUAAUACCCCGCUGUUCUGACGGUACCCAAAGAAUAAGCACCGGCUAACUUCGU
rnacentral:rRNA from 1 species